rnacentral:rRNA from 1 species
UACGUAGGGUGCAAGCGUUAAUCGGAAUUACUGGGCGUAAAGCGUGCGCAGGCGGUUAUGUAAGACAGAUGUGAAAUGCCCGGGCUUAACCUGGGAACUGCAUUUGUGACUGCAUGGCUAGAGUUUGGCAGAGGGGGGUAGAAUUCCACGGUGUAGCAGUGAAAUGCGUAGAUAUGUGGAGGAACACCGAUGGCGAAGGCAGCCCCCUGGGUCAAGACUGACGCUCAUGCACGAAAGCGUGGGGAGCAAACAGG